CCCAGCUUGCUGGGUGGAUUAGUGGCGAACGGGUGAGUAACACGUGAGUAACCUGCCCUUAACUCUGGGAUAAGCCUGGGAAACUGGGUCUAAUACCGGAUAGGAGCGUCCACCGCAUGGUGGGUGUUGGAAAGAUUUAUCGGUUUUGGAUGGACUCGCGGCCUAUCAGCUUGUUGGUGAGGUAAUGGCUCACCAAGGCGACGACGGGUAGCCGGCCUGAGAGGGUGACCGGCCACACUGGGACUGAGACACGGCCCAGACUCCUACGGGAGGCAGCAGUGGGGAAUAUUGCACAAUGGGCGAAAGCCUGAUGCAGCGACGCCGCGUGAGGGAUGACGGCCUUCGGGUUGUAAACCUCUUUCAGUAGGGAAGAAGCGAAAGUGACGGUACCUGCAGAAGAAGCACCGGCUAACUACGUGCCAGCAGCCGCGGUAAUACGUAGGGUGCGAGCGUUAUCCGGAAUUAUUGGGCGUAAAGAGCUCGUAGGCGGUUUGUCGCGUCUGUCGUGAAAGUCCGGGGCUUAACCCCGGAUCUGCGGUGGGUACGGGCAGACUAGAGUGCAGUAGGGGAGACUGGAAUUCCUGGUGUAGCGGUGGAAUGCGCAGAUAUCAGGAGGAACACCGAUGGCGAAGGCAGGUCUCUGGGCUGUAACUGACGCUGAGGAGCGAAAGCAUGGGGAGCGAACAGGAUUAGAUACCCUGGUAGUCCAUGCCGUAAACGUUGGGCACUAGGUGUGGGGACCAUUCCACGGUUUCCGCGCCGCAGCUAACGCAUUAAGUGCCCCGCCUGGGGAGUACGGCCGCAAGGCUAAAACUCAA
rnacentral:rRNA from 1 species